CCGAGAUUUGCAUGUGCUUAGUAGCCUGGAUAGAAUCCAUCGCCAUUUGGUUGUUGCAGAGUUCACCCGCAUCACCAUGGUUCCUUUGUUGUCGACUUUCAUGGCCAAGCUGGACCACUACGCUGACCACCUUCUUAGAGUGUUGAAGAAGAAGGGGGGGAACAGCUAAACACAAUAUCAACGUAAUCAUGGCAGCCAUGGAUGGGUCUCCCAGUUCCUGCUGCCAAAAAACAUCCCCACAGCGGGACGCUGAAACCACCAUACUUCACUGUAGAGAUGUAUUAAACAGGAUCACCUAAAGAUUGCUUCCUGUCUCCCACACUUCCUGAGAUGAGAUCACCAGGCCCCACCAUCUAUUUAACUGUGUGAAACAGAUGUAUAAAACCAAGUGAUACAAAAGCACUAUUACUAAAACAUGUGACCAAUACAUCAAAUAAAAUAAAUUUCCA
ensembl:lncRNA